rnacentral:lncRNA from 1 species
AUCCCUGGAGCCGGGCGGCAAAGGCUCCUCCUGGGACCAUGUGUGGACCCUCCAAUGAGGGGGGCCUGGGUCACCUUCACUGAGUGGACAGGACACUCAGUGAAGUUCCAAAGGACACUCAGUGAAGUUCCAAAGGACACUCCGCGUCUUUUUCCUCCAGCUCCUGAAGGAAGCACAGUGAAGACUCCAGCAUGGAAAAGCGUGUCCCACACGGCCUCGGCGCCUCCAUGGAUGAUAGGCAUGGGGCACCCCCUUUCCUCUGGAAGGUUCUGGUGGGGGGCAGCACACCGUCCACGGGAGCAACGGCCUCUGCAUCUGCCCACUGCAGAUUCACUUCGUAUUUUUAGUUCCCAAACCUUGACAUCCAAGCUCCCGCUCUGUGGCUUCCGCGGCAGCCUGGCAAGCUUCCUGUGAAGUCGCCCGCUGCUGAGCUUCCGCACCCUUCCUCCCGCAGAGCCAGCCAGUCAUGGAAGAGCGGGAUCAUCCCGGAAGGGAGCCUGCAGCGAUGAUCCAGCUCCUUCAAAGGGUCUGUGGAUUAUCUCAGCUUCCCUGGUACGUUCCUGUGGUAGCUCUUGGAGCAAAAGUUCACGAUAAUUAUUCAACUCAGACUGCCAUGCAGAAGAAAAACCAUGAACCCCAAAAUGCUCCAGGAUUGCUGGAAAGUCGCUGUCCUGGUCUGCAGGGCCCGGGGAAACUGAAAGAAGAUCCAGAAGGACGCGCCCUAGCUAUGGAGGCUUUGGUGGCAUCCGAAAGGGGAGGGGGUGGCGACCUGCAUUAGGCCCCCUCCUCUCCAAACACCUGCUGCUGGUGAUGUCGAGAAAACUCCUUGCCCUUGCAACUCUGAGGCGGAGGGGGAAAGGGGACCGGAAGCCUCAACAUUUUCCUGGUUUCCUGGGGGAGGAGGGUCCGAAAGGAAAGGCUGGUGGGGGGGUGGGGGGAAGGGCCCCAGUGACGACUGGAUUCGGAAUUUUCCUCUCACUUCGUGGUAGUGAAGAAUUUAACUACAACAGUAACAACACUAAUAAUUCUAAAA